rnacentral:rRNA from 1 species
UACGGGGGGGGCAAGCGUUGUUCGGAAUUACUGGGCGUAAAGGGCUCGUAGGCGGCCAACUAAGUCAUACGUGAAAUCCCUCGGCUUAACCGGGGAACUGCGUCUGAUACUGGAUGGCUUGAGUUCGGGAGGGGGAUGCGGAAUUCCAGGUGUAGCGGUGAAAUGCGUAGAUAUCUGGAGGAACACCGGUGGCGAAGGCGGCAUCCUGGACCGAUACUGACGCUGAGGAGCGAAAGCCAGGGGAGCAAACGGG